rnacentral:SRP_RNA from 1 species
UUCUCCGUUGCGGGUCUCCCCGCAUGGCAAAUCGGAACACCGGGUCAGGGGCGGAAGCCAGCAGCCCACUCCGAUGCGCCAGUGCCGGGGGUUUGGUCCGCCGCCCUAUUUGAA